AGCGAACGCUGGCGGCAGGCCUAACACAUGCAAGUCGAACGAACCUUUCGGGGUUAGUGGCGGACGGGUGAGUAACACGUGGGAACGUGCCUUUAGGUUCGGAAUAACUCAGGGAAACUUGUGCUAAUACCGAAUGUGCCCUUCGGGGGAAAGAUUUAUCGCCUUUAGAGCGGCCCGCGUCUGAUUAGCUAGUUGGUUGAGGUAAUGGCUCACCAAGGGGACGAUCAGUAGCUGGUCUGAGAGGAUGAUCAGCCACAUUGGGACUGAGACACGGCCCAAACUCCUACGGGAGGCAGCAGUGGGGAAUCUUGCGCAAUGGGCGAAAGCCUGACGCAGCCAUGCCGCGUGAAUGAUGAAGGUCUUAGGAUUGUAAAAUUCUUUCACCGGGGACGAUAAUGACGGUACCCGGAGAAGAAGCCCCGGCUAACUUCGUG
rnacentral:rRNA from 1 species